AAGGUUAAGUAACUUGCCUAAAGUUGCACAGCUAGUGAGAGGAGAAGCCAGAAUCAAUGCAUUACUUGGAAUGAGGACCAGGAAAUGACAAUGGAAUAUAGAGGGAAGCGGACAAAUGGAAAAUAAAUAAUUAAAACCUCUAUUGGACAGGCAAUUCAAAGAGACAUUGGGUAUUAUCAAGCAAAUACUCAUUUGCAGACAAUGAAACUGAGGCCCAUGAAGGUUACGUGACUUCCCAAGUCAUUCAUCUAAUUAGGAGAGAGCUGGGACAAGAAGCCAUAUUUUAAAA
rnacentral:lncRNA from 10 species